rnacentral:lncRNA from 1 species
GAACACAAGAGACAUGACAAAGGAAAGUUGUCUCAAAGGAAACCUCAAACGACCAAUUGAACCCAAGAGAAAUGAUGAGGAACCUACAAAAGAGAAUGGAUGAAAUGCAUAGUAGAUAUGAGGAAGAUUCAAAAGCCUAAUAUGCACGGAGAACGUAGCCAUGCGACGAGGUCGAAGUCAUAAGAAUCCAGUGCCUUCC